rnacentral:rRNA from 1 species
GCGAGAAGUCACCUUCGGGUGGCGAGUAGAGCGGCGCACGGGUGAGUAACGCGUGGGUAAUCUACCUCCGGGUCUGGGAUAACUUCGGGAAACUGGAGCUAAUACCGGCUAAGACCACGAUGUCCUCGGACAUUGCGGUAAAAGGUGGCCUCUUCAUGAAAGCUAUCGCCUGGUGAUGAGCCCGCGUCCCAUUAGUUUGUUGGUGAGGUAAAAGCUCACCAAGGCAUCGAUGGGUAGCUGAUCUGAGAGGAUGAUCAGCCACACUGGAACUGAGACACGGUCCAGACUCCUACGGGAGGCAGCAGUGGGGAAUCUUGGGCAAUGGGCGAAAGCCUGACCCAGCAACGCCGCGUGAGGGAUGAAGGCCUUCGGGUCGUAAACCUCUGUCGGGAGGGAAGAACUGCACGAGACGAAUAAUCUCGUGUUCUGACGGUACCUCCAAAGGAAGCGCCGGCUAACUCCGUGCCAGCAGCCGCGGUAAUACGGAGGGCGCAAGCGUUGUUCGGAAUCAUUGGGCGUAAAGCGAGUGUAGGUGGCUUGGAAAGUCGGGUGUGAAAUCCCAGGGCUCAACCCUGGAACUGCACUCGAAACUGCCGAGCUAGAGUCCCGGAGAGGAUGGCGGAAUUCCCGGUGUAGAGGUGAAAUUCGUAGAUAUCGGGAGGAACACCAGCGGCGAAGGCGGCCAUCUGGACGGUGACUGACACUGAGACUCGAAAGCGUGGGUAGCGAACAGGAUUAGAUAC